rnacentral:rRNA from 1 species
UGCGUAGGCGGGUCUUUAAGUCAGGGGUGAAAUCCUGGAGCUCAACUCCAGAACUGCCUUUGAUACUGAGGAUCUUGAGUUCGGGAGAGGUGAGUGGAACUGCGAGUGUAGAGGUGAAAUUCGUAGAUAUUCGCAAGAACACCAGUGGCGAAGGCGGCUCACUGGCCCGAUACUGACGCUGAGGACGAAAGCGUGGGGAGCGAAACA